UACGAAGGGGGCUAGCGUCGUUCGGAAUCACUGGGCGUAAAGGGCGCGUAGGCGGCUUUAUAAGUCGGGGGUGAAAGCCUGUGGCUCAACCACAGAAUUGCCUUCGAUACUGUAGAGCUUGAGACCGGAAGAGGUAAGUGGAACUGCGAGUGUAGAGGUGAAAUUCGUAGAUAUUCGCAAGAACACCAGUGGCGAAGGCGGCUCACUGGCCCGGUACUGACGGCUGAGG
rnacentral:rRNA from 1 species